ensembl:ncRNA C07H6.14 ncRNA
AUAAUGGAUGUUGUGCUAAAGACGCCGGUCGGUUUCUGACGGGGCGCUGCGCCAUAUGGCCGACAUGGGAAAGAAAAGAGAGAGAAAAAGACAAUGUUGCUGAAGACACCUGUGCGUUGGUCCAACAGACAG